CGGGAAAGCACUCCGGGGUAGUAAAGUGAAUCCUGUAGAGAGCACAGAGUGCGACGUGGACCACUGCUUCCUACACAGGGAUGCAUUGGCAGCGAAUUACAUGGUGCCAGAGCUCCACGCUACUCUCCAGGAUGUGAUCAAGUGUGCCAACUAUAUCAAAAAUGGUUCCACGAAAAGCAGGUGUUUUCCAGGCCUUCUGUAGGUAUAUGGGGAGCGAGCACCAGCAUGUGCUUUAUCAUGCAGAGGUCCGCUGGCUUUCCAGGGGUAAAGUGUUGGGUCACUUUUAUGAGCUUCGAGCGGAGAUUGCUGCGUUUCUUUCGGGAAAACAAGUCAUCUCUGCCCGAACAUUUACAUUGUGAGGAAUGGUUCACGCAAAUUGCCUACCUGGCGGAUAUUUUUGAUCAUCUGAAUUCUCUCAAUGUGUCAAUGCAAGGGAGGUGGCACAAUCGAUUUGAACAGAGAGACAAAGUGGAUGCCUUCAUGAUGAAGCUUGAAUCGUGUUUCUAACGGGAGGAUAUGAUUCCUGUAAUAUUCAUAUGUGAAUACAUACUGAAUUAUAAUUGGAUGCAUUUUACCGCCGUAUCAUACUGUGCGGUGAUUGGUUAAGACCACCCAGACGGUUAGGUCAUGGGCAGUUGAUCGUGGUUGGAGAUAGUCUAACAUGUAGUUGUAGCUAGUUAAUAAAGAGUUAUGUUAAGAAACAUCCUGUAGUUCUGCGUUUUAUUAUUUUGUACAAAGUGUACAAAACAAGACAAUUCCCAAUACUGAUUUCCAGAUUCAGAAUCUGAUCAACAAAGCGCACAGCGACACACUGAAAAAAAAAAGUUAAACAGCAUCUUGUCAAGCUGCAGGGAAAGUUUUGCGACUACUAGAACAGGAGAUAGACGACUGGAUACGGGACCCCUUUAAAGUGGAGGUGGGAAGCGUCACGUUGCCAAGCAACGAAGAGGCUCUGCUGUUGGCGCUGUUGUUUGAUCGCGGACUGUGAGCACACGUCUUCCCUGAAAUGACACUGCCAAAGUUCUGGAGCAGCGUAAUGGGAGAGUAUCCUUCUCUCGUCUGUUAUGCAAUCAGAAUCAAGCUACCGUUCAGAACGAGCUAUCUGUGUGAAAGUGGCUUCUCUGCUUUAGCCGUGCUGAAAACUAAAAGCAGAAACAAACUGGACAGCCAGCAUGACCUUCGAGUUGCCCUGUCAACCAAACUUCAAUAAACUUAUCGAACUCAAGAAACACCGCCAGCUUUCUUACUGAUAGGACACACAAACACA
rnacentral:lncRNA from 1 species